AUCCUUUACCAAAUUACUUUGCCCAAUCUUCCUUUUAUAUCUAUUCUUUAUUGAUGGAAUAUUACGAAUCAAACACAGAUGUAGGUGCUUUAACAGUUUAUCAUGAUCAUCGGUUGUCUUUUUUAAUACAUAACUGCAACUCAGCAUGUGGAACAGGAGUCACUCAUCUACGGUCUAGUUACGAUGUCAUAAUAUAUAAGCAUAAAAUUACUGGUGUCUAAACAACCUAACUUGAUUUUUUAAAUUCUACUACAAUAUUUCAAUUUUAACUAUCAGGUAUGAUUUUAAAUUUUAUAUCAUAAUACAAUUAUCAGGUAUUUGAGAGAAACAGCCAGUGCGUUUUGAUGUUGCAUCAUACUGGUUAUUUUGCAUUCAAUCUGUCUUGAGCUCAACGUUGGUAUAAUUAGAGCUUCUGAGUUUAUAUUUUGCAAAAUAGACAUUGGCUUCAAACAAAACAAAGAAGUUUGGUUUGUAAAUCCGUAAAAAUUGCAUUGGUAUGUGUUGAUCGUGAGUUUGGGGUUUGCCGAGAAACUCAAUUCUCUCGACAAAUAAAUGUGAAUUUGAGCAAAGGCUACAAAGUUUCUGUAAGCAUUCUUCGAUAAGUCACUUAGACGGUUCGUACUGGUGCCCAGGACCCCAAACCAUCAAUUGACUUGUCCCUGCUUUAGAAGUGUCAGGGUCAUCGCCAUUACGUCUUUACCUACUCAUAUUUUUAGCAAUUAUUCCAAUUCAUCUUAAAAAUUUCAGCCAACAUUAUCUAGUCAGAAAUCAUAUAGAAGUAAUAUGU